rnacentral:rRNA from 1 species
UACGUAGGGUGCGAGCGUUAAUCGGAAUUACUGGGCGUAAAGCGUGCGCAGGCGGUUUUGUAAGCCAGAUGUGAAAUCCCCGGGCUUAACCUGGGAAUGGCAUUUGGGACUGCAAGGCUGGAGUGUGGCAGAGGAGACUGGAAUUCCCGGUGUAGCAGUGAAAUGCGUAGAUAUCGGGAGGAAUACCGAUGGCGAAGGCAGGUCUCUGGGCUGACACUGACGCUGAGGCGCGAAAGCGUGGGGAGCAAACAGG